ACGGAAGGCAGCAGUGGGGGAUAUUGCACCAUGGGGGAAACCCUGAUGCAGCGACGCCGCGUGAGUGAAGAAGUAUUUCGGUAUGUAAAGCUCUAUCAGCAGGAAAGAUAAUGACGGUACCUGACUAAGAAGCACCGGCUAAAUACGUGCCAGCAGCCGCGGUAAUACGUAUGGUGCAAGCGUUAUCCGGAUUUACUGGGUGUAAAGGGAGCGUAGACGGCAUGGCAAGCCAGAUGUGAAAGGCAGGGGCGCAACUCCUGGACUGCAUUUGGAACUGUCAAGCUAGAGUAUCGGAGAGGUAAGUGGAAUUCCUAGUGUAGCGGUGAAAUGCGUAGAUAUUAGGAGGAACACCAGUGGCGAAGGCGGCUUGCUGGACGAUAACUGACGUUGAGGCUCGAAAGCGUGGGGAGCAAACAGGAUUAGAUACCCUGGUA
rnacentral:rRNA from 1 species